UAUUGAGCAGGUAUGUGAGCCAAGUAUAAAAAGGGGGAAGGUGAAAACGUAGGAGCAAAAAAAAAAAAAGAACAAACGGGAACGAAAGUAAGAGCAUAGAGUGCGACUCAGAUAAUCGAGUGGGAUAAAUAAUAGGAAUUAAUAUUAAGGUGACAAGGUUUAGCAGGAUCAAGAUGGGAGAAAAAUCACAGUGUUUUCUUUUUUUUGUUGUGUACUAUUUGUAUUUUGACUGGACUCUUGUAAUAACAUAAAGGCCCAAAUGACUAUUUUUUGUUUCUUUUAAUAAACUUUUGGUACCCAAUUAUUUUA